CAAGGAAAUUAAUUCUUAGAGGAAUUUGCUCCGAUCCUCCAGUGUGAAAAAGAAUGUGUGCAUCCAGACCCUUUGGCUCCUCCAGGGACUUGAUGCAGGCCCACCACCAAAAGUAGCCUGGCUUGCAGUGUCCCAUAAAAAUGGGGAUUUGUCCAGGAAAAGUGGUGGUGGAUGGCACCUGCCCUGAGAGAGGAGAAAUGGUGUCUGGGGAGGAACUGCCAGCAGGAAAAUGGUGAACAGCUGAGGAAAAUGGUGGCACAGAGGAAAAGACGGUCAUCUGUUCUGCGACUUUUGGACUCUGGAACUAAUUUUGAGAAGCAUUGCCUGGACUGGUCUGAACUUCAAGUAACAAUCCAACAAAUUUUUACCCAUCA